rnacentral:lncRNA from 1 species
UGGGGUUUUUCCCCCCUCCCAUCCCCUCCCUGCCCCCCCCCCCCCCCCCCCCCCCCCGGGGGGGGGGCCCCCCCCCCCCCGGGGGGGGGUCGCUGUGGGUUUGUCCCCCCCCCUCACAUGGUGCUGGAGGCCAGGUUGGUGUCCUCGUGCUUGAGCUUCCCGUCCAGCGCCAGCCCCCGGCGCUGCCGGUUGGAGCUGAGCAGCGGCGUCAGGGAAUAGACCCGGCAGAGGGUGGCGCUGGGGGGCACCUGGUCCCUGCGGGGUCAAAGGUCACCGCGGGGUCACCCCGAGGUCACCCCGGGGUCAGCCUCGGGGACAAAGGGGAUGGGGGUCAAGGCCGGGGCAGAGGGGCUGCCCCCGGGGACAAGGGAGAACGGAGACGGGGGCACCGUAGGGACAAAGGUCAGGGGUUAUCUAGGGUCAGGGGUCACCCUGGUGUCACCCAGGGUCAAAGGUCAGUCUGGGGUCACCCAAGAUCAGGCCAAGGACAAAGGGGACAGGGUCAUCCCAGGGCACCCCCCCAUAACCUGGGGACAAGGGGCAGGGAAAGGGGGAAUGGAGACGGGGUCACCGUGGGGACAAAGGUCAGGGGUCACCCCAGGGUCAGAGGUCAAUCUGGGGUCACCCAGGGUCAAAGGUCAGUGUGGGGUCACCCAAGAUCAGGCCAAGGACGAAGGGGACAGGGUCCUCCCAGGGCACCCCCCCCCCCAGUAAUCUGGGGACAAGGGGAUACGGAAAGGGGGAAUGGAGACGGGGUCACCAUGGGGGCCAAAGGUCAAGGGUCACCCCGAGGUCAGGGAUCACCCUGGGGUCAGGGGUCAGCCCCAGGGACAAAGGGGAUGGGGGUCAAGGCCGGGGCAGAGGGUCUGCCCCCGGGGACAAGGGAGAAUGGAGUCGGGGGCACCGUAGGGACAAAGGUCAGGGGUCACCCCAGGGUCAGAGGUCAGUCUGGGGUCACCCAGGGUCAGGGGGCAGUCUGGGGUCACCCAGGGUCAGGGGGCAGUCUGGGGUCACCCAGGGUCAGGCGAAGGACAAAGGGGACAAGGUCCUCCCAGGGCACCCUCCCCCCGUAACCCAGGGUCAAGGGGGUACGGAAAGGGGGACUGGACACGGGGUCACCGUAGGGCCAAAGGUCAAGGGUCACCCCGAGGUCAGGGGUCACCCCAGGGUCAAGGGGUCAGAGGUCACUCCAGGGCACGGGGUCACCUGGGCUGAGCUGGGGGGGGGAGUUGUGUGUGUCAGGUGGGGCCAGGGCAAGGGC